CGCCGCGAAGCCUCACGGGAAGCGGAGUUCCUAAGGCCGCCUGCGGCCCGGCAAUUACCCCCUGGGUCCUCUCACACUUAGCAGUGGGUGUCAGAUGGUGGAAGGGAACGCUCAGGGAGGCCCCGGGCGGUGAGUUGUCCCUCGGGCGGGGACGCCCUCGUGGGCAGUGCGGCGUGGACGGCGCAAGGAAGAACCCGGAGAGAUCCCAAGCCACGAGGCACCGCUUCCGGCGCAUUGUGAGGUCCCACCUUUCCCGCCGCCUGAGGUCGCGGCGGCUGCUCUUUCCCGGAGCAGCGUCCCUGGAGGCGCUGCCAGGGGGUGAGGCACCCACGCGUGCACCGUAUGUACCCCCCAGCGCGGCGCUUAGAACGACUCGCAUGAGUCGCUGCCUUGGGUUGGAACCGGUUACUCCGCCGCUUCGUACUGGACUGCAAAGUAACAAGUACUUCGCCGGGCAGCGGUGCCGACCCCGUGUGCUACGGCGAGAGGUGCUUAGCCUAGAGCCGACGAAAACAUGUCCCCAGGACUCCCUUUCCCUCCCAGACUGCGUCCCACCAGAUGGAGCUUUCCGUCUGUUUUAACCACCAGUGUAUUCCUGAUGCCUGACCCAGGCGCUGAAAUAUUUGUUGAACGAAUAAAUGUGUAGGUUAGGACUGACGACAGUCCGCGAAUUCUGGAAAAAAAAAAAAAAA
rnacentral:lncRNA from 1 species